UUUACCCUUUGUGACAUACCUACAACUGUUGCUUCGGCGGGUAGGCCGUCCCCUGAAAAGGACGCCUCCCGGCCCGGACCGGACCCCCCGCGGGACCGGACCCGGCGCCCGCCGGAGGAUAACCAAACUCUAUUGUAACGACGUUUCUUCUGAGUGGCAUAAGCAAAAUAAUCAAAACUUUUAACAACGGAUCUCUUGGUUCUGGCAUCGAUGAAGAACGCAGCGAAAUGCGAUAAGUAAUGUGAAUUGCAGAAUUCAGUGAAUCAUCGAAUCUUUGAACGCACAUUGCGCCCGCCAGCAUUCUGGCGGGCAUGCCUGUUCGAGCGUCAUUUCAACCCUCAAGCUCUGCUUGGUGUUGGGGCUCUACGGUCGACGUAGGCCCUCAAAGGUAGUGGCGGACCCUCCCGGAGCCUCCUUUGCGUAGUAACAUUUCGUCUCGCACUGGGAUCCGGAGGGACUCUUGCCGUAAAACCCCCCAAUUUUCCAAAGGUUGACCUCGGAUCAGGUAGGAAUACCCGCUGAACUUAAGCAUAUCAAUAAGCGGAGGAA
rnacentral:rRNA from 1 species